UAGGGAAUCUUCGGCAAUGGACGAAAGUCUGACCGAGCAACGCCGCGUGAGUGAAGAAGGUUUUCGGAUCGUAAAACUCUGUUGUUAGAGAAGAACAAGGAUGAGAGUAGAAUGUUCAUCCCUUGACGGUAUCUAACCAGAAAGCCACGGCUAACUACGUGCCAGCAGCCGCGGUAAUACGUAGGUGGCAAGCGUUGUCCGGAUUUAUUGGGCGUAAAGCGAGCGCAGGCGGUUUCUUAAGUCUGAUGUGAAAGCCCCCGGCUCAACCGGGGAGGGUAAUUGGAAACUGGGAAACUUGAGUGCAGAAGAGGAGAGUGGAAUUCCAUGUGUAGCGGUGAAAUGCGUAGAUAUAUGGAGGAACACCAGUGGCGAAGGCGGCUCUCUGGUCUGUAACUGACGCUGAGGCUCGAAAGCGUGGGGAGCAAACAGG
rnacentral:rRNA from 1 species